rnacentral:rRNA from 1 species
CCUACGGGAGGCAGCAGUGGGGAAUAUUGGACAAUGGGCGAAAGCCUGAUCCAGCCAUGCCGCGUGUGUGAAGAAGGCCUUCGGGUUGUAAAGCACUUUCAGUGGGGAAGAAAGCCUUGGGGCUAAUACCCUCGAGGAAGGACAUCACCCACAGAAGAAGCACCGGCUAACUCCGUGCCAGCAGCCGCGGUAAUACGGAGGGUGCGAGCGUUAAUCGGAAUUACUGGGCGUAAAGCGCGCGUAGGCGGUCUGAUAAGCCGGUUGUGAAAGCCCCGGGCUCAACCUGGGAACGGCAUCCGGAACUGUCAGGCUAGAGUGCAGGAGAGGAAGGUAGAAUUCCCGGGGUAGCGGUGAAAUGCGUAGAGAUCGGGAGGAAUACCAGGGGCGAAGGCGGCCUUCUGGACUGACACUGACGCUGAGGUGCGAAAGCGUGGGUAGCAAACAGGAUUAGAUACCCCGGUAGUC